AGAAAAGUAAUGAGGGAAAAAUAGCCACUUCUCAAGAAUUUCUCUAAGCCAAUUUUUUAGGCUCUGUUUCUCCUAAGUAUUUUAUUCCAUUAUCUCUGGUCAAGAUAAUUGGAUUGGCUUCGGACCAAUAAAGGGAAAGUAGGAUUUAAAAAUAGGUCUCACCAAAAUGACUGCCUAAACGCAAGCUGAACAAGAACAACAAUAUUGGUUGUGCUGACAUGGAGGGACAGAAGGCCUCAACGCUACUCCAAAAACUGCAGGAUAAAAGACCGCCACCGUUUCACAUUAGCUAAGAAGCAGCUCUGUCAUUUAAGGCAGAGCAUGAAAAUGAAGGUGAUUCUUAGGCGAGAUAAUCAUCUAUGGUGCCCCCAGCUAACAGAGUAUUCUCAAGAGACCAGGCGGUGUGAGUGAGCAACACGGAACUGAAUCAGGCCUCUGAGUGACUCAGGAAAGGGCCUUGAAAGCCCGAUACAUGAGAUGAAAGAACUCAUCAACCUGGAUCCCAGUGUGGAAAUGAGCACUUGAUAUCCUGAAGCAUCAUCUGUCCCGAACCCUAAUUCCUCUACUCAGUCUGCCGAUGGAGCCAACAACUGACAGGUGGGACUUCAGGAAACCAAAGCUCUGUGCACAGAGGAAACAGCCAGUUGAAUGAAGAGAUGGCCCACAGAAUGAGUGAUGAACACGUAAAUGAUUACUCAGAAGAGUUUGAAGGGGCAAUGGGUUAGCUUUUUUGUCAUCUUAACAUAAGGUAGAGUCAUCUGGGAAAAGGGAAUGCAGUUGUAAAAAUGCCUCCAUCUGAUUGGCCCAUAGGCAUGUCUAUGGAGCAUCUUCUUGAUAAAUA